UAAAGAUUCAUCGCUGAUAGAUAGGCAUGCGUUCCAUUAGGCAGUUGGCGGGGUAACGGCCCACCAAACCGACGAUGGAUAGGGGUUCUGAGAGGAAGGUCCCCCACAUUGGUACUGAGACACGGACCAAACUCCUACGGGAGGCAGCAGUGAGGAAUAUUGGUCAAUGGGCGUAAGCCUGAACCAGCCAAGUCGCGUGAGGGAUGAAGGUUCUAUGGAUCGUAAACCUCUUUUAUAAGGGAAUAAAGUGCGGGACGUGUCCCGUUUUGUAUGUACCUUAUGAAUAAGGAUCGGCUAACUCCGUGCCAGCAGCCGCGGUAAUACGGAGGAUCCGAGCGUUAUCCGGAUUUAUUGGGUUUAAAGGGUGCGUAGGCGGCCUUUUAAGUCAGCGGUGAAAGUCUGUGGCUCAACCAUAGAAUUGCCGUUGAAACUGGGAGGCUUGAGUAUGUUUGAGGCAGGCGGAAUGCGUGGUGUAGCGGUGAAAUGCUUAGAUACCACGCAGAACCCCGAUUGCGAAGGCAGCCUGCCAAGCCAUGACUGACGCUGAUGCACGAAAGCGUGGGGAUCAAACAGGAUUAGAUACCCUGGUAGUCCACGCAGUAAACGAUGAUCACUAGCUGUUUGCGAUACAGUGUAA
rnacentral:rRNA from 1 species